rnacentral:rRNA from 2 species
GCUUGCAUCAUGAUUUACAUUUGAGUGAGUGGCGAACUGGUGAGUAACACGUGGGAAACCUGCCCAGAAGCGGGGGAUAACACCUGGAAACAGAUGCUAAUACCGCAUAACAACUUGGACCGCAUGGUCCGAGUUUGAAAGAUGGCUUCGGCUAUCACUUUUGGAUGGUCCCGCGGCGUAUUAGCUAGAUGGUGGGGUAACGGCUCACCAUGGCAAUGAUACGUAGCCGACCUGAGAGGGUAAUCGGCCACAUUGGGACUGAGACACGGCCCAAACUCCUACGGGAGGCAGCAGUAGGGAAUCUUCCACAAUGGACGAAAGUCUGAUGGAGCAACGCCGCGUGAGUGAAGAAGGGUUUCGGCUCGUAAAACUCUGUUGUUAAAGAAGAACAUAUCUGAGAGUAACUGUUCAGGUAUUGACGGUAUUUAACCAGAAAGCCACGGCUAACUACGUGCCAGCAGCCGCGGUAAUACGUAGGUGGCAAGCGUUGUCCGGAUUUAUUGGGCGUAAAGCGAGC